UUGCCCAUUUAACAAUAGGCACAUUGACCAGAUCAUAUAAUGAAGGCUAGAAGGAAACUUAUAGGGCAUUGACUCCAAUCUAUUUAUUCUGCAAAUGAGGAAGCUGAGCCCCAGAGAAGUAAAGUAACUUGACCAAAGUCACAUAGCUGGCCAUCCAAUAGCAACCUACUAGGAGACUUAUCAUAUUGGAACCAGGCUUUAUACAGACAACCAACUGACAAGCCUACUGGAGCUCAAUUGUUCCUUGGAAUUUCAACCAUCCUGGAAGGAGGUGCUGUGGACUCUAGGGGCCAGGAUGUGCUGCUUGAAUAUUUUGAUUUUUUAGCUAAUGUAUGAAAUGCUUGUGAAGUUAAAACAGGACUAAAAUGAAUGGUAUAUUACCUAACAUGGGAAGGGGGCAGCGAAUGUAGAAGGGAAAGAAAGUAUUCUUUCCAGGAAGGCAGCAACAAUGAAA